rnacentral:rRNA from 1 species
AGAGUUUGAUCCUGGCUCAGAUUGAACGCUGGCGGCAUGCUUUACACAUGCAAGUCGAACGGCAGCACGGGUGCUUGCACCUGGUGGCGAGUGGCGAACGGGUGAGUAAUGCACCGGAACGUACCCAGUAAUGGGGGAUAACACAUCGAAAGAUGUGCUAAUACCGCAUACGCCCUGAGGGGGAAAGCGGGGGAUCGUAAGACCUCGCGUUAUUGAAGCGGCCGAUGCCGGAUUAGCUAGUUGGUGAGGUAAGAGCUCACCAAGGCGACGAUCCGUAGCUGGUCUGAGAGGACGACCAGCCACACUGGGACUGAGACACGGCCCAGACUCCUACGGGAGGCAGCAGUGGGGAAUUUUGGACAAUGGGCGCAAGCCUGAUCCAGCCAUGCCGCGUGAGUGAAGAAGGCCUUCGGGUUGUAAAGCUCUUUCGCAAGGAAAGAAAACUUAUCUACUAA